UGGGGAUAUAGCUCAUUUGGUAGAGCACUUGCUUCAAAUGCACAAGGUCCUGGGUCAAUCCCCAGUACUAA
rnacentral:tRNA from 1 species